AUUGUACUCCCUCCGUCCGAAAAUACUUGUCAUUGAAAUGGAUGUAUCUAGAUGUAUUUUAGUUCUAGACACAUCCAUUUUGAUGACAAGUAAUUCCAGACGGAGGGAGUACUUC
rnacentral:pre_miRNA from 1 species